UGUAGGACCCCCUGGACUGCAUGGUCCUUGGGGGUUGAAAGGCAUGAGCGGUGUGCAUGGCAGGCCGGGUAUUGAGGGUCCACCGGGACAAGAUAUAUCUGACCAGCAUAUUAUUGAUGUGGUAUAAAGAAUGUUGCAAGAGAGGCUGGCAGCAGUAGCAGUGAGCACUAAAAGGGCUGUGCCGUUGAACAACCGGCUAUUCUGGUCCUCCGUGAUUAAUGGUUCCACAAGGACCACAUGAUUUGCCUGGUUCCCGAAGAAUUCCUGGAACGAUGGGAGCUGACAGACGGAUUGGAAACACAUGUCUUAAAGCAGGAUGUGUUCCCUUCGACUGCUGGAGAGUUCUGUGCCGUUUUGAGCCGGAGGAGAAUAUAUAGGGAGGUCUGCAGUGGGCGGGGCUCUAGCUCAACACUGCAGCGUCGUUGUUUGACUUCUCCAAAUGAAUCCUACAGUUGUGAUGGGUCUACUCGACGUUCAUCACAACGUGGACAACUACACAGGUAAGUAUUAUGGUGUGUUAUGAAAGAUGUUUGGCUUCUCCAAAUGAAUCCUACAGUUGUGAUGGGUCUACUCGACGUACAAUGUUCAUCACAACGUGGACAACCAAACAGCCAAAUGAAUCCUACAGUUGUGAUGGGUCUACUCGACGUACAAUGUUCAUCACAACGUGGACAACCAGACAGGUAAGUAUUAUGGUGUGUUAUGAAAGCAUUAAAAUGUUUGCUUUGAUGUUUCUCCGACUCCUGUUUAUUGUUGUGUCUACAACAAGUUUGUGUGUUAAACUUGUGGCCCCCCAACAACACACACACCACAACAAAGUCCCCAGAAGGCCCACGAAUGAUGGGACGCCACCCAGACGGACUGGAGGCACAGGCUUGGUUAGGAUUAUGGUUAGGGUUAGGAUUGGGGGAAGGGGAAUGCACAGUCCGUCUGCAGCCCGCCCGGGCGACGCCCACACCAACCCCGGAACCCCCCGAAGACCCCGAAAGAUGCGCAUGCUGCGUCAGACACAUACAGCCAAAUUAGUGACGGGCAUGACUGGCCCUGCCAUCCAGCGACGCGUUUCGGUCUCUUGACCUCUUCAGGCUGGCUUUGCACUGAUUGCAGGAUGUAAACAUCUUUUUAACUGCGAGUCUGUGCCUACUGGGACACUUCUAAUUCCCUAGUAGGUGGGGCACUUCUAAUCCCCUAGACUUACGGCUACUCUAUUUUUCUCUACAGCAGGAUGUGUUCCCUUCGACUGCUGGAGAGUUCUGUGCCGUUUUGAGCCGGAGGAGAAUAUAUAGGGAGGUCUGCAGUGGGCGGGGCUCUAGCUCAACACUGCAGCGUCGUUGUUUGACUUCUCCAAAUGAAUCCUACAGUUGUGAUGGGUCUACUCGACGUUCAUCACAACGUGGACAACUACACAGGUAAGUAUUAUGGUGUGUUAUGAAAGAUGUUUGGCUUCUCCAAAUGAAUCCUACAGUUGUGAUGGGUCUACUCGACGUACAAUGUUCAUCACAACGUGGACAACCAAACAGCCAAAUGAAUCCUACAGUUGUGAUGGGUCUACUCGACGUACAAUGUUCAUCACAACGUGGACAACCAGACAGGUAAGUAUUAUGGUGUGUUAUGAAAGCAUUAAAAUGUUUGCUUUGAUGUUUCUCCGACUCCUGUUUAUUGUUGUGUCUACAACAAGUUUGUGUGUUAAACUUGUGGCCCCCCAACAACACACACACCACAACAAAGUCCCCAGAAGGCCCACGAAUGAUGGGACGCCACCCAGACGGACUGGAGGCACAGGCUUGGUUAGGAUUAUGGUUAGGGUUAGGAUUGGGGGAAGGGGAAUGCACAGUCCGUCUGCAGCCCGCCCGGGCGACGCCCACACCAACCCCGGAACCCCCCGAAGACCCCGAAAGAUGCGCAUGCUGCGUCAGACACAUACAGCCAAAUUAGUGACGGGCAUGACUGGCCCUGCCAUCCAGCGACGCGUUUCGGUCUCUUGACCUCUUCAGGCUGGCUUUGCACUGAUUGCAGGAUGUAAACAUCUUUUUAACUGCGAGUCUGUGCCUACUGGGACACUUCUAAUUCCCUAGUAGGUGGGGCACUUCUAAUCCCCUAGACUUACGGCUACUCUAUUUUUCUCUACAGCAGGAUGUGUUCCCUUCGACUGCUGGAGAGUUCUGUGCCGUUUUGAGCCGGAGGAGAAUAUAUAGGGAGGUCUGCAGUGGGCGGGGCUCUAGCUCAACACUGCAGCGUCGUUGUUUGACUUCUCCAAAUGAAUCCUACAGUUGUGAUGGGUCUACUCGACGUUCAUCACAACGUGGACAACUACACAGGUAAGUA